UACGUAGGGUGCGAGCGUUGUCCGGAAUUAUUGGGCGUAAAGGGCUUGUAGGCGGUUUGUCGCGUCUGCCGUGAAAAUCCGGGGCUCAACCCCGGACUUGCGGUGGGUACGGGCAGACUAGAGUGUGGUAGGGGAGACUGGAAUUCCUGGUGUAGCGGUGAAAUGCGCAGAUGUCAGGAGGAACACCGAUGGCGAAGGCGGGUCUCUGGGCCGUUACUGACGCUGAGGAGCGAAAGCGUGGGGAGCGAACAGG
rnacentral:rRNA from 1 species